AGUGAACGCUGGCGGUAGGCCUAACACAUGCAAGUCGAACGGCAGCACAGUAAGAGCUUGCUCUUACGGGUGGCGAGUGGCGGACGGGUGAGGAAUACAUCGGAAUCUACUUUUUCGUGGGGGAUAACGUAGGGAAACUUACGCUAAUACCGCAUACGACCUACGGGUGAAAGCAGGGGAUCUUCGGACCUUGCGCGACUGAAUGAGCCGAUGUCGGAUUAGCUAGUUGGCGGGGUAAAGGCCCACCAAGGCGACGAUCCGUAGCUGGUCUGAGAGGAUGAUCAGCCACACUGGAACUGAGACACGGUCAAGACUCCUACGGGAGGCAGCAGUGGGGAAUAUUGGACAAAGGGCGCAAGCCUGAUCCAGCCAUACCGCGUGGGUGAAGAAGGCCUUCGGGUUGUAAAGCCCUUUUGUUGGGAAAGAAAAGCAGCAGGUUAAUACCCCGCUGUUCUGACGGUACCCAAAGAAUAAGCACCGGCUAACUUCGUG
rnacentral:rRNA from 1 species